UACGGUUAUAUCACGUAGAAACAUUGGUUCCCGUACGUUCGUGGAAGUUAAGCAACGUCGAUCUUGCUCAGUACCUACAUGUGUGACCGCUUGGGAAUACCAGAUGCUGUAAG